AUGAAGCAGAGAGAGAGAGGAGAAAGUUUUGAGAAUUUUAUGGUGAUUUUCUUGGUGAUUCUUCUCAUGGUUGAAGAAUUAUGGAAGGUUGAAGAAGGAUGUAGGGAGAGUGAGAAAUUUGUGGUUUUCAGGCAUAUUGCAAUGUUUUUGAAACGGGGCGGGGCUGAUUGUUUUGCGCCGGAUUUGAAUUAA